rnacentral:rRNA from 1 species
GACGAACGCUGGCGGCGUGCUUAACACAUGCAAGUCGAACGGCAAGGCCCUGCUUUUGUGGGGUGCUCGAGUGGCGAACGGGUGAGUAACACGUGAGUAACCUGCCCUUGACUUUGGGAUAACUUCAGGAAACUGGGGCUAAUACCGGAUAGGAGCUCCUGCUGCAUGGUGGGGGUUGGAAAGUUUCGGCGGUUGGGGAUGGACUCGCGGCUUAUCAGCUUGUUGGUGGGGUAGUGGCUUACCAAGGCUUUGACGGGUAGCCGGCCUGAGAGGGUGACCGGCCACAUGGGGACUGAGAGACGGCCCAGACUCCUACGGGAGGCAGCAGUGGGGAAUAUUGCACAAUGGGCGGAAGCCUGAUGCAGCAACGCCGCGGGCGGGAUGACGGCCUUCGGGUUGUAAACCGCUUUCGCCUGUGACGAAGCGUGAGUGACGGUAAUGGGUAAAGAAGCACCGGCUAACUACGUG